rnacentral:tRNA from 1 species
GGCCUCGUAGCUCAGCUGGCUAGAGCUUUGGCUGUACAAAAGCCUUCCUUGUAAUUUUAUGGGUUCAAAUCCCACUGGGGCUG